UACGUAGGGUCCGAGCGUUGUCCGGAAUUAUUUGGGCGUAAAGGGCUCGUAGGCGGUUUCGUCACGUCGGGAGUGAAAACUCGGAGCUUUAACUCCGAGCCUGCUUCCGAUACGGGCAGACUAGAGGUAGGCAGGGGAGAGCGGAACUCCUGGUGUAGCGGUGGAAUGCGCAGAUAUCAGGAAGAACACCGGUGGCGAAGGCGGCUCUCUGGGCCUUUACCUGACGCUGAGGAGCGAAAGCGUGGGUAGCGAACAGG
rnacentral:rRNA from 1 species